AGCCAGACUCCUACGGGAGGCAGCAGUGAGGAAUAUUGGUCAAUGGCCGGAAGGCUGAACCAGCCAAGUCGCGUGAGGGAAUAAGGCCCUAUGGGUCGUAAACCUCUUUUGUCAGGGAGCAAAGGCGUCCACGUGUGGACGAGAGGAGAGUACCUGAAGAAAAAGCAUCGGCUAACUCCGUGCCAGCAGCCGCGGUAAUACGGAGGAUGCGAGCGUUAUCCGGAUUUAUUGGGUUUAAAGGGUGCGCAGGCGGAUUUUUAAGUCAGCGGUCAAAUCGUGGGGCUCAACCCCAUCCAGCCGUUGAAACUGGGGAUCUAGAGUGUGCGAGAGGUAUGCGGAAUGCGUGGUGUAGCGGUGAAAUGCAUAGAUAUCACGCAGAACUCCGAUUGCGAAGGCAGCAUACCGGCGCCCAACUGACGCUGAAGCACGAAAGCGUGGGUAUCGAACAGGAUUAGAUACCCUCAGUAU
rnacentral:rRNA from 1 species